rnacentral:rRNA from 1 species
GAUGAACGCUGGCGGCGUGCCUAAUACAUGCAAGUCGAGCGAACAGACGAGGAGCUUGCUCCUCUGACGUUAGCGGCGGACGGGUGAGUAACACGUGGAUAACCUACCUAUAAGACUGGGAUAACUUCGGGAAACCGGAGCUAAUACCGGAUAAUAUAUUAAACCGCAUGGUUCAAUAUUGAAAGACGGUUUUGCUGUCACUUAUAGAUGGAUCCGCGCCGCAUUAGCUAGUUGGUAAGGUAACGGCUUACCAAGGCAACGAUGCGUAGCCGACCUGAGAGGGUGAUCGGCCACACUGGAACUGAGACACGGUCCAGACUCCUACGGGAGGCAGCAGUAGGGAAUCUUCCGCAAUGGGCGAAAGCCUGACGGAGCAACGCCGCGUGAGUGAUGAAGGUCUUCGGAUCGUAAAACUCUGUUAUUAGGGAAGAACAAAUGUGUAAGUAACUAUGCACGUCUUGACGGUACCUAAUCAGAAAGCCACGGCUAACUACAUG